rnacentral:rRNA from 1 species
AUUGAACGCUGGCGGCAGGCUUAACACCUGCAAGUCGAGCGAGCGGCGGACGGGUGUGUAAUGUCUGGGACCCUGCCUGCUGGCGGGGGAUAACUACUGGAAACGGUAGCUAAUACCGCAUACCAUCAGAUGUGCCCAGAUGGGCUUGGCUAGUAGGUGGGGUAAUGGCUCACCUAGACGACGAUCCCUAGCUGGGCUGAGAGGAUGACCAGACACAAUGGAACUGAGACACGGUCCAGACUCCAACGGGAGGCAGCAGUGGGGAAUAUUGCACAAUGGGCGCAAGCCUGAUGCAGCCAUGCGGCGUGUGUGAAGAAGGCCUUCGGGUUGUAAAGCACUUUCAGCGAGGAGGCGUUACUCGCAGAAGAAGCACCGGCUAACUCCGUGCCAGCAGCCGCGGUAAUAC